CUCCAGGAUGCCAAUGGACUAUGUUUACUGGACAAUUUAGGAGAAUGGUGUAAGAGGUAGACUGUGAAAAGCUUUGGAAUUCAACAAUGGGAUCUUCCAAGAGCACUGAGAGGUUAUGAUGUUACCAGAUAGAAAUAAAUUUCGUUGGAAAAAGUCAGCUCCUGGUGAAGUGGGCAUUUCUGAGACAAGGCUUCCUUGUGGAUCAUGGGCCAGAAACAAGAUGGACUGUGGAGCAAACACACCUGACCCUAGCCUUCAUGGAGCUGAUCUUAUAGUGGAUCCAUUUUCCUUAUGAUCGUGUAUCCCUUCAGCCUGAAGAACUACCUUGAGCAUU